UCGGGGGUAUCGUCCCCUCCGUUGCCGCAGUUUACGCACUAAGUUCCCCGCCUGGGGAUUAUGCUCACAAGGCUGAAACUCAAAGGAAUUGACGGGGCCCCGCACAACCGCUGGAGCAUCUGGUUUAAUUCGACGCAACGCGAAGAACCUUACCUGGGCUUGACAUGCUUGGGUCAGCGCUGGUAACAGCAUCUCUCCUUCGGGAGCCCUUCCAUAGGUGCUGCAUGGCUGUCGUCAGCUCGUCUCGUCAGAUUUUGGGUUAAGUCCCGCAACGUGAGCAUCCCUCGUUACUUAUUAAUAUCAGUUCGGCUGGGCACUCUAGUGAGACUGUCGGUGAUGACCGNGCCCAACGAUGAGCAUGAUGUUAAGUUAUCAUGGACCUUUCAGUCAAGGGCUACACACGUGCUACAUAUGGUCGGCACAUAGGGUCGUAUAUCCACGAGGUGGAGCUAAUCCCAUCAAGCCGGCAUCAGUUCGGAUUGGAGUCUGCUACCCGACUCCAUGAAGGCGGAAUCGCUAGUAGUCGCGGAUCAGCACACCGCGGUGAUAUGCUUCCCGGGGAUUGUCACACCGCCCGUCAUAUCACCCGAGUCGG
rnacentral:rRNA from 1 species